GCCUUUAUUUUGAUAAAAUUGGUCAAGCCCACAUAAGGCAACGCACACACGGCUCCGCCCGCCCCCCGCCCGCCCCAACCAGAAAAUAAAUAACACAAACCAAGAGAGGACUCCAUGUAGUGUUUGGCUUUGCAGUAUAGAAAUUCCACACAAUGAUUUCUGUUGUGUUGCUGUCAAUUAUUUUUGUUUAGUUGGUUUUUUUUGUUGUUUUUUUUUUCCCUGUUUAAAAAGGUAAAAAUGAUUUAUAAUACACAGUCAGAACGUGGUGCCCGCAUAGAAAACCGACAUGCAAUCCAUGCCUACACUGCGCCCUAUAAAUAAGAUGCAACUCAAAAUACAAAGGACAGGAACACUACAAAGUUUCAAUUCUAAAGGGGAGGGGUGUUUUUUUGUUGUUUUGUUGUUUUUUAAAAAGGACAGACACACGUAACAAAGGCUACCUGCGCUUUCACAUUGCCAUCACAGUGACGGGGGGGCCGUUGCUCCGAGGAAUAAACGCGCUGGUUUUGGGGUUUCUCCAGAAAUAAAAACAGCCAAGGUGGGGGGCAGCAGGGGAGGAGGGGAUUUCCUGCUUCCUUCAGCUCCAGAAGGUCUUUCCUUAAAGGAACAGCUCAAGAUUUAAUUGUUGUUUUGACAGAAAUUUUUAGGAGGGACGGUUUGGUUUUGCUGUUAGAGAAACUCAGGGAAGGUUUUGAUCUUGGAGUUGAGGUUGGGAAAGGGACACAGAAUCAGGGUUGGGGAGGAAUCACUGAAUUAAGGCUGGAAAAGAACCUGAAUCGAGUUCAGAAAAAAAAAUAAUCACCAAAUCAGGGUUGGAAAAGAACAAACCAGUCAAGGUGGGAGAAGAAAAACCAAAUUAAGGUGGGAAAAAAAUUCAGGAAUCAGGGUUGGAAAGGAAGAACCCAAUCAAGGUGGGAAAAGAAAAACCAAAUCAAGGUGGGAAAAGAACAACCCAGUCAAGGUGGGAGAAGAAAAACCAAAUUAAGGUGGGAAAAAAAUUCUGGAAUCAGGGCUGGAAAGGAAGAACCCAAUCAAGGUAGGAGAAGAAAAACCAAAUUAAGGUGGGAAAAAAAUUCUGGAAUCAGGGCUGGAAAGGAAGAACCAAAUGAAGGUUGGGAAAGACCUGCAGGACCCCAAGGUCCCUCUGGGCUGAA